rnacentral:pre_miRNA from 1 species
AGAUAAAGAGUCUUGUUUGAUAGCCAAGGAUGACUUGCCUGUACCUCACAGCAGGUUUCUCUUAGGUUAAAAGUUCUUCCUUGGAAGCCCCUGUCUAGUUUCAGGCAAUUAUCCUUGGCUAACCUGACAGGCUCUUCUCUA